AAGACCUUUGGUCCCAGCCCAUACCAGGGUAAUCCUGAGUGCGAAUGACUGCGCCACCCCUAGUUGGGAGUGUGAGUCUCGCCAGCCACACUACACACGCUGCUCCUCAGCACACUCCCUGAGGGUCCCGAUGGGUACUGGGAUGGCGACCCUUGAA
rnacentral:SRP_RNA from 1 species